rnacentral:rRNA from 1 species
UACGUAGGCGGGAAAUUAAGUCAGUAGUGAAAUCGCACAGCUUAACUGUGGAACUGUUAUUGAUACUGGUUUUCUUGAAUAUAGUUGAGGUAGGCGGAAUGUGUAAUGUAGCGGUGAAAUGCUUAGAUAUUACACAGAACACCGAUUGCGAAGGCAGCUUACUAAGCUAUGAUUGACGCUGAGGUACGAAAGCGUGGGGAGCGAACAGGAUUAGAUACCCUGGUAGUCC